GCGCCUGCGAGGAGGUACUUCUCUGCUGCAAAGGGUUUUUGGGCCUCGGAUACAAAAAGGAACUCCGCGUUAGGAGCAGCCACCGGGUGCAUAGCCUGCGGUGGAAAAAAAAAAAAGUGAUGCUUCGAGCCUGGCAGUACCUCUGCAGACCCACCAGAUGGCGACUGUGGGAAGGAUGCCGAGCAGGACGAGAGAGGAAGAACUCCGUCAGGAGGGGUCAGGGCUUCCUGUAUGGAGGACCCGUCCUGAACAAUGCGCAUGCGAGGAGGCCUGAACGGAGACAUCUCCUGGGGGCCAAUGAAUCACAGACCUUGAGGCCAGGGAGACAGACUAAAUUACAUAUAUGUGUAAAAAAGGGUCUAUGCAUCAAUGCAUGUUUUCUUGGUUAUGUGUGUGUAUAUAUAUAAAUAUAUAUAUAUAUAUAUAUAUAUAAACCCUGAUACUCAUACGUGCUUGCGCGGCAAAACGGCAACACAGGAGUUAUUUAGACAGCCAGGGUUUUAAACAUCAUUUGUACAAUGUUUAAAAUUUUGUAUACAUUGUAGAAGUGCUUCCUACGGGAUGCCGUGAUUUCAUUGCACCGUCUAGGACCUACUGUGGUGUUUGUCUUCACUCGUGCCUGCGGUGGAAAAAAAAAAAAAAAACGCGAUGCUUCGAGGCUGGCAGUACCCCUGCAGACCCACCAGAUGGAGACUGUGGGAAGGAUGCCGAGCAGGACGAGAGAGGAAGAACUCCGUAAGGAGGGGUCAGGAUUUCCUGUAUGGAGGACCCGUCCGGAACAAUGUGCAUGAGGAGGUACUUCUCUGCUGCAAAGGGUUUUUGGGCCUCGGAUGAAAAAAAAGAAUUCCGCGUUAGGAGCAGCCACCGGGUGCAUGACCUACUGUGGUGUUUGUCUUCACCCGCGCCUGCGGUGGAAAAAAAAAAAAGCGAUGCUUCGAGUCUGGCAGUACCUCUGCAGACCCAUCAGAUGGCGACUGUGGGAAGGAUGCCGAGCAGGACAAGAGAGGAAAAACUCCGUCAGGAGGGGUUAGGUCUUCCUGUAUGGAGGACCCGUCCGGAACAAUGCGCAUGCGAGGAGGUACUUCUCUGCUGCAAAGGGUUUUUGGGCCUCGGAUAUAAAAAAAAAAGAAAUCCGCGUUAGUAGCAGCCACCGGGUGCAUGACCUACUGUGGUGUUUGUCUUCACUAGAGACUGCGGUGGAAAAAAAAAAAAGUGAUGCUUCGAGGCUGGCAGUACCUCUGCAGACCCACCAGAUGGCAACUGUGGGAAGGAUGCCGAGCAGGACAAGAGAGGAAAAACUCCGUCAGGAGGGGUUAGGGCUUCCUCUAUGGAGGACCCGUCCGGAACAAUGCGCAUGCGAGGAGGUACUUCUCUGCUGCAAAGGGUUUUUGGGGCUCGGAUGAAAAAAAAGAAAUCCGCGUUAGUAGCAGCCACCGGGUGCAUGACCUACUGUGGUGUUUGUCUUCACAAGAGCCUGCGGUGGAAAAAAAAAAAAAAAAGUGAUGCUUCGAGGCUGGCAGUACCUCUGCAGACCCACCAGAUGGCGACUGUGGGAAGGAUGCCGAGCAGGACGAGAGAGGAAGAACUCCGUCAGGAAGGGUCAGGGCUUCCUGUCUGGACGACCCGUCCGGAACGAUGCGCAUGCGAGGAGGUACUUCUCUG